rnacentral:rRNA from 1 species
GACAGAGGAGGCAAGAGUUGUUAGGAAUCAUUGGGCUUAAAGCGUGCGUAGGCGGCCUUGUAAGUGUCUUGUGAAAUCCCACGGAUCACCCAUGGAACUGCAGGGCAAACUGCAAGACUUGAGGUCGGUAGAGGCGCCUGGAACUCUAGGUGGAGCGAUGAAAUGCGUUGAUAUCUUGUGGAACGCCGGAGGCGAAAGCGGGGCGCUGGGCCGAUUCUGACGCUGGUGCGCGAAAGCGUGGGGAGCAUAUAGG